GUGCGUGCCCCCGGAGCCGGGGAGGGGAAGGCGCUGAGCGCGGGGCCCCGCUCCGGAGCGCGGGGGGCGUGCGGAACCUGCGCGGGGCGGUGGCGGGGAGAGAGCAGCGGCGGCUUUGCUGGGCAGCGAGUGCGGAAAGCGGCACAGGCUGUGCCAUCGCCGAGAGCCGAGCGGGCCGGGAGCACACGGGCAGACACGGGAACUCGGCAAAUCCAGGCCGGGUCCUCAAGACCGGGAUGCAGUUUCUUGGAAAGGAGAGUAACAUGGGUGUUGUGGUCGAAAGCGGUCGUUCCAAAACAGUAGAUUUAAAGCACAAGAACUGCCUCUUAACAAAACUCAUGAACAUGCAAACACCUCUUUUUCUGAUGCUUAACUAAGGUGUGGCCUUAAAGCAUGCUGGCAGUUGUGGAAGCUCCACGGGUUUGUUUUUUACCCCCCUUAAAAAAUAACUCUUACCUUUUCCACAGAGCAGCGUGGGUGCGGUGGGGGCAGUCACCGCGGGCUGUCUGUGCUGCACUCACACCCUGCCUUUCCUUGCAGGAACUUGUUCUCCAUGCACUGAGCCCAGUCCUGUUACUGGGAGCUCUGCUUGCUGUUUUCAUUUCACUCUGCAGAGCUGGAGACUUAAAUUAUGUACAGGUCAAUGCUAGGACAUUUUCGUGGAGCUUACUCAUUUGAAGUUUUUUAACUUCUCAAUGUGCCAAGACACUUAUGUCCUUAUGGUGUUUAUUUAUUAAAAAUAACUAUCUUGCUUAUGCCAGCAGCUGCUGUAAAAAUGCAGUUUGCUGCUUUUUACAUAAUAUGGUGUUAAAUGUAACUUUUGCUAUUUAAUAUUUGAAAAAUAAUGUUCAGUUAAUCAUGGCAGAGUAAUUGAAUAUAAUAUUUGUAUGUAAUAUUGUCAUUACUGCAUAAUCUGGACUUUAAUGUCAGGAUGAUGAAAACUUGAGUUAGCACAGUUAACUCCCGACCAAGGAAGAGUAUUGGCUGUGUGGGUUCAUGUAUUGUACAAGAAAUGUGCUUAGGCAAUUUUGCCAUUUUAUAUCUUUGUUUGCCACCUUAUGCUGGAAGAACACAAACCCUACUGUUUGCUUACUUCUUCCUUUUGAUGUCAGCUCGUUAUUGUAGGCUUUUCUAUCACUUGCUGCACGGCUUUGCCUGGGACAGUGGUUUUCAGUUUUUUAAUGGGUCUGUGAGUUGAGUGGCCGGUGAGAGAUUCUUGAAAUGUUACAAAACCGAGCCUGCAAUGACUUGUCCGGGGGCAGCUGUAAGAACCAGUGGCCAGCAGUGCCUUCAACAAUUCGGGAUUUGAUUUAACCUUUGUGACAGAUGGGAAGUUCUGUGAAAUAUAUAGGAACAGUUUAUUCUAUUUCGCUACCCCUAAACUGUGGUUCAGCAAGAAGAAGUCCCAGUGACAUUAGGUUUUUCAGCCUUUUGAGUGAUUUCCAGUCGGAGGAUCAGAACAGGAAUUCAAUAUUCUGUGGGACCCCCAGAGCAGGCGGGUCCCUCCCCCGGCAGGCGAAGGACGGGCACUGCAGCACAGCUGAGCCUCUUCAGGAGCAACCUACACGGAUCACACGGCUCAGGGCAGCACUCGUGACACGGCACUCGGACAAUGAACUUAAUGUUUCAGAAUCAUUCUGAUAGUAACUUAUGGAGCACUGACACAAAAGAAGCCAAUACAGAAGACGAAGAAGAGAUGCAAGUUUGGGCUACUGGGAGGUUCCUGUAUCUGCUUGGAAUUAUCAUGGCUCUGUUACAGAGAUUGACUUGACCCAGGCAGAGGCCAGAAUUCAAGAAGUGGCACACUUUUAAACAACCAUUAACAGGUCCUUGGCUUCGCCCUCCCCUGUUCAUCACUAAUGCUCUAAUGCUGCAAGAGGCACCACUUCCCAGUGCUGUCACCUGAGACACCUUCAGCCUCAGAGUGACCCAACUGCAGCAGAAGGAUGUCACCUCAAAGAAUUAUCUACUGGGCUCCCAUAUUAUUCAGUACUACAAGCCAGGGCCAGAGGCUAUUAAUACGGUGUAUGCAAAAUUUGGGUACACUUCCAGUCCCUUUCCCAUGGGAAUGCUCUUUGAAAUGUCAGCCUGAAGUGCUUUUACAACAGUGAAAGUCAGCCUGUUUUAACUAGUGUUAAUAAACUCAUCCAUAUUAUUACUGCAGUUGCAUUAAAUAUUGAAAAAAAAAAAACCAAGCAACCGCCUGAAGUGACAGUUGUGAAUGAACUGGGGGAAACUACUUCACCUGGAACUACAGGAAGUGCUGGUGUGAGCUAGAUGGCCAAAGUCCAUCAAAAAGGAGAAGCUGGACUCCUUUGAAAAUUUCUAUUUAAAAUUCCCCCAUAUGGAAGAAAAAUGUCUUUAAACAGUGCAUAAGAUAUAUUUUCAAGCCAGUGAAUAUUUAAGAAUCUUUAAACACAACCCCAAGGUAAAACACUAAACAUUUUCCUGUUAGAGUUGAUGUAUACAGAGCUGAAGACAGAUGCUGAAGAAGCAGCUGCUGUGAAUUUUGAACAGCAGCAGCAGUCUGCAAUCAUUGGCCAUUCCUUAUCCUCCAGUUUAUUCCCCACAGCAAGCAGGAGCUGCUUUC